GUAAUGCCCGUGCCACAGGCUCUCCCGAAGGUCCCCAGGAAUUCCAGCACCUGGAGGAGGCCAGGGAACUCUGCUCAACACCCCACGCUGUCCCUCGAGCUGUGGCUGUGACCCUGAGACCCAGCACGCUGAUGUUCUUACUGCACAGACAGCAUCACAUCUCCUGGAGACAAAAAUUUAGGGGUUCUACGGUCAAGUUUCUGUUAUACAAGCGACAGAUUUCAUUCAGUCUUGGUAAUUUUGCAUCCAGCUGCCAUCAGAAGGGAAAUAAAGCCUGAACUGAUGCACAAAAAGACAAGUCAAU